AGUCACUGUCACUGGGGUUGGCGACCGCGCCUUAGGGAUUUGAAUCUUUCGGUAUUCGGCUACUCUCCCCUAGCUCCUCUCUCUUCUUUUCUCAGCAGUCUACCCGGCUUAGAAGCGCUCGGUGUUCGGCCAAGCCUCCUGUCGCCUGGUAGUGGGACCGGAAGUUGUCCGGGGGAGGGGGGGAACGACUGUAGUGGGGGGGUUGGGGGGGCCGGUCCCUCCACAGGUGAAGCCGCUGAUGGAGAUGGAGCCACCGCCGCUGAGCACCCGGGUCCCGGCUCCGGCCUGGUUGCCGCCGCCUCAGUGACCCCAGUGCCCCCGCACUGGGCCAUCCGGGCCAGAGUGGGGGACCCCCGCCGCCCCGCCCCCCUCUCCCCCAACACCGUCCCUUCUCCCUCGCUCCCCCCAGCCUGCGCGCGCGCGGAGCUGCCUCAGUCUACAUGGGACAGGGAAGAGCAAAGAACAAGAGAAAAGAUGCAGCAUCAAUCUCAGAUCUAAAAGGAGACAAUGAGGCUCAGGGCCACUGAAACUUGGAAACCAGAGGAAACUUGGCUGCCUUGUUUGUCAUCAAUAAUUAGAGGGGUGUGUGUGAUCAAAUCUAGUACCUGACACAUACGAAGCACAUACUCUGCUACUGAGCUGUAUCCCAGCCCCUUGAAUACAGGUGGUCACUGAUGUGUGGCCUACCCGUGGAAAUUAAAACUCCAAAUUGGUUCUCACCUGCUGCUCUUCGGCAAGUAUUAUGGGGAGUCUGUCUAGAAGAAAUGCCCAGCCUGUUCAGAUGUGAGGUUGUGUUAAUGAGAGGAAACCAGGGCCACAGAAUUGGGAUAGUGCCAAGUAGACUCAAGAGUAGGGAAGAAAGUCUCUCUCCAGAGAUUACAAUGGUCAACUUUUCCCCCCUCCUCACAGAGAUACUUCUCAAAUUGGGAGACUGGCUAUUUCUAGUUGCUUCCUGGGCCUUUGCUGAACUGAAUUUACAGUAUAUACGUGCCUACCUCUAUCACUGAAUGACAUCUGUGUUUCUAUAAAACCAGUUUCUGGGCCAGUGAAACAACUCACUUAGUGCGUUGCUUUGUCAUGUGCAUGACCCACGUCCAAACUCAGCCCCCACUGCAUUAAAAGAAGCUUCUGUCCUGUGGUCUCUUCACAGCCCCCCACCCUGUCUCUUAGCUUCUGUCUUUAUACUAUAUAUAAUAUAACAUAAUGUAAUGUAAUAUAAUAUAAUAUUAUAUCCCCAAGAUCUUUGAGCCAAGCCUGUCUUAUGUAACUCCUGUACCUCCUCCCCCCCCCCAUGGUGUGUCUCCAGUUGGCACUGCUUAAUAUGACCCAGUUUCUCUAAGAAGACACUAAGAUCGGCCUUCCUGGCCUGGCAGGGGAGGAGGAGCUUUGAGGGAAUAGGCAGGUUGGGAGGGAGACCUGAGCUGUGAAGUAUAUCUACUGAUUUGUACCUGGCUUUCAAAAAUACUAGGAUCAGCAACAGCGGGAUCUCAAAAUCCUCUGGCUCCCGGGGUUACCAACCUGGCAUUCAGACUGGUUGGAGGCAGCUGGGGACUGGUUUUGCCCCAGAUGUGUCAGGGAGCACCUGUUAUGAACAGUUAAGAAGCAGGAAACUCAGUUUACUAGCAGGAACAAAGUCCAACUCAGAAAACAACUUCUUCAGACCAUUCUGGAAAUUGUUUUGGGGCAAUUUGGGCAGGUGUCCAAGAAUGAAGUGUACUUGCUGAGCCAGUGCAAGCUGAACAGUAGGCUUCAACUGGGCUAGUGCUAGCCCAGCCCCUAGUGUACAUACGUGUACACACACACACACACACACACACACAAUCAUAUUUUCCUAGUUCUCCCAAUAGAGUCUGCUCAACUUGUUCUUUUUUAAGUAGCAGACACCAUUCCCACAGGGAUCACACUAAAGGAAAAGAGGACCAAUGUUAGGGAAAAACAGGAAAAGUCUUGAGGAACCUUGCUUUUGAAAGGAAGCGGGAUGGUGUGGUUGAAAGAGCACAUGUCAGAAAGGGAGGAAACUUGUGUUUUUUUCUUGUUCCACUUUCACUAGGAGCCCUGAAACAAGUCAGUUAACUACUCUGAAUCUGUUUCUCCAAGCAGAAAAUGGGGGGAAAUCCCAAUCACUUCUGCUCUCCCUACACCAGUGUAUAUGGGGAAAUCCCAAUCAUUUCUGCCCCUCCUACACCAGUGUAUAUGUGUGGGAGAAGUUGUGUAGGCAUUUGAGAUUUGCAGUAGCUUUGAAAAAUCCCAAAGGGCCAUUAUGGAGCUAAUGAUUUGGAAAGGAAAGGGUCCCGUGAGUAUUAGACCACUCUCCAUCUUUGGAUCUCUGACCACUGCAAGUUUUCUGGCUAGUUGCAGAGGGUGGGAGUUAACUAACUACUGUGGACUUGGGUUCUAGUCAUUACUCCUAAGGGAAUCUUCAAGGAAGAUUAAUAUUGUGGCUUGGUCUAAUAGUCUGAUCCCAAAGCUCAAUCCCUGCCAGAGAGACUGUCAAGAAAAGAAGGUUUGAAAAUAAAUGUAGUGGUGGAGGGGUAGAUAGCAUAAUGGUUAUGCAGAGAGACUCAAGCCUGAGGCUCCAAAGUCCCGUCCUCAAUCCCCCACAUCCCCAUAAACCAGAGUAAAGCAGUGCUCUGGGAAGAAAGAGAGGAGAGGAAUGGGGGUAGGGAGGAGGGAAGGGGAAGGAGGAAAGAAAGAAAAAGAAAAGAAAAGAAAUGACUGGAGAAAUGGCCCAAAAUGGCAGAACAUAGGGCUUUCAUGUUCAAGGUUAAUGGUUCAAUCCCCAGCACCGUAUGUACCAGAAUGGUGCCCUGGCUUCUCUCUCUUUUUUCUGCCUCCUUUAAAACUCUCUCUCAUAUGUAAUAAAAUAUAAAUCUUAAAGAAGAGAGAAAAAAAUAGCUGGGGAGACAGCAUAAUAGCUAUGCAAGACUUUAAUUCCUGAAGCUCUGAGGU